GCUGGUUUAGCUCAGCUGGUAGAGCAACUGAUUUGUAAUCAGUAGGUCGGGGGUUCGAUCCCCUCAACCAGCGCCA
rnacentral:tRNA from 1 species